CCAGACUCCUACGGGAGGCAGCAGUGGGGAAUAUUGCACAAUGGGGGAAACCCUGAUGCAGCGACGCCGCGUGAGUGAAGAAGUAUUUCGGUAUGUAAAGCUCUAUCAGCAGGGACGAAAAUGACGGUACCUGAGUAAGAAGCCCCGGCUAACUACGUGCCAGCAGCCGCGGUAAUACGUAGGGGGCAAGCGUUAUCCGGAUUUACUGGGUGUAAAGGGAGCGUAGACGGCAGCGCAAGUCUGAAGUGAAAUCCCAUGGCUUAACCAUGGAACUGCUUUGGAAACUGUAUGGCUGGAGUGCUGGAGAGGCAAGCGGAAUUCCUAGUGUAGCGGUGAAAUGCGUAGAUAUUAGGAAGAACACCAGUGGCGAAGGCGGCUUGCUGGACAGUAACUGACGUUGAGGCUCGAAAGCGUGGGGAGCAAACAGGAUUAGAUACCCCCGUAU
rnacentral:rRNA from 1 species